UCGACAAUCCUGAAAGCCCUUAUUCAUUGGAUAUCCAUGUUGAUCUAACGUUGUCUCUACUUUUAUCAGGACUUUAUUGGACUUAGUCUCUUACCUUGAGAGUUGAAAUACUUUGGACUAGACUUCUUCUUCGAGCCGCACAAGACACUGCACUUCUUCAAAGUAUGAUUCCUUCCUUCUCUCUUCCCUUCAGCCUUUA
rnacentral:lncRNA from 1 species